UCGUUCCCCCGCAGCGGCGCCGGGUGGUUCCACGGUCGCGUUAAGACAACUCCCGCGAGCUGGGACACGGCAUAGCCACUGUGGAACAGACAGCACGGAUGUGCAGGCCAUGUCUGACACAGGGGGUUCUAAUUUCCAGGGCCACCACGCCUACCUUAUGGAGUAGCAAGAGUUCUCUGCCCUCCAUUACACCUUUUUAUUAAUACACAGUGUGUAUACUCUAGCCUUCUCAGUUUACUAACUACCAGCAUCCACUUGAACACCAGCCAAAGCAUUACAACUCUUCAAGUGGUUGUUGUAUCUCCUCUGAACUCAACACUUUCACUCAUUUGUUUCUCCUUGUUGUUGUGGAAUUGCAGGAUAUGUGAAAAAGUAGGACUGGAGGAGAGAGAGAAAAAAUGAAGCUCAGUCAUCCAGAAUAAUGGUGUCCUUCACUCCGCUUUCAGUCUGCCCUUUUGAAUUUGCAGCUACCAUGUUUGAUUACAAAAAGUUAUCUUCAGAUCAUCUGCGUGAGAAAAGAGACAGAAUUUUCCCAGUGGAGUUUUAUUGCUUGCACAAGUGAAAGGAAGAGGCAACUAGAUGUGUGGAAGUGGUGGGUGAGUAUAAAUGCAUUUUUGUGGCCAAUCUGAAUAAGU
rnacentral:lncRNA from 1 species